AGGUAGUCGAUACGUUAAACGUCUGCUAUACCAAGAUAACAAUAGCGAGUGUGCCGUUACGGAGUACCAUUACGACUGGCUUUCCGAAGAUGGUUCCUGCUGCCAAGAUUCACAGGCGAACUGCUUCUGCCGCAAAAGAAUAAGACUCUAUGAGCGUGUGUAUGUUUGGGAAAAUUAUGAAGCUGUAUUA